rnacentral:rRNA from 1 species
UACGAAGGGAGCUAGCGUUGUUCGGAAUUACUGGGCGUAAAGGGCGCGUAGGCGGUUUGGUAAGUCAGAUGUGAAAGCCCCGGGCUUAACCUGGGAGGUGCAUUUGAAACUGUCAGACUAGAGAUCGAGAGAGGAAAGUGGAAUUACGAGUGUAGAGGUGAAAUUCGUAGAUAUUCGUAAGAACACCAGUGGCGAAGGCGACUUUCUGGCUCGAUACUGACGCUAAGGCGCGAAAGCGUGGGGAGCAAACAGG